rnacentral:antisense_RNA from 1 species
AUAGAAUUUAGAACAGUACCUGAUGCGUAGUUAAUGCUCAACAAGGAGUGUUCUUUCUUGGAACCAUCUGCCAAGCUGUGAGGAAACUCCAGAGCCAUAUGACAAGACCUGAUGGAGGAUAACUGAGGACUUUGGCCAACAACCCCAGCUGAGCUCCCAGUUGGAAUGUGAAUGAGGCCAUUUUGAGUGUUCCAGCCUAUUGGAGCCCUAGCCAACACACUCUACAAACUAGAACUGCCUGAUUGACCCGCAGAAUCAUAAGAAAUGAUCUUGCUUUGUCACACAAGCUGGAGUGCAGUGGUAUGAUCAUGGAUCUCUGUAAACUUGAACUCCUGGGCUCAAAAGAUCCUCCUCCCUUGGCCUCCCAAAGUGCUGGGAUUAUACAGAAAGUAAUUUGAAGGCCUUCCCUGACUUAAAGUGGAUGCUGCUUUGGAAAGCACUGGAAAAAUGGAUCCUGUCUUUCUUAGCCAAGGACUGGUCUCUUUUCUCCAAUGUGUCCCUAACAGAGUGGUGAGGCUGGCUCUUCCCACCAGUACAGACAGAAUUUUCAAUUCACAAAUCAUCUGAAAAACAGGAAAUUUUGGAGAAACAUGCUUAUGAUAACAAACAAGGGAUCUAUCGUGUGGUAUAGAAGUUUACACAAAGAGGCAUCCGAUUUUAAGU